AAACAGCCCCCUAUGUUUUGAUUCUUUGGCAGUUUUGGACCCCCAAGGCAAAAAAAAAAAAAAAAAUUGACACAUGGCACCUCACUUAGGGUGCCACGUCAGCGUUGACCGAGUCAACAAUGGAAUGGGGGUCCAAAACUGCCAAAAAUCAAAACAUAGGGGGCUGUUU
rfam:Medicago truncatula strain A17 chromosome 1, whole genome shotgun sequence.